GACGAACGCUGGCGGUGUGCUUCACACAUGCAAGUCGAGCGCCCCGCAAGGGGAGCGGCGGACGGGUGAGUAACACGUGGGAAUUUUCCUCAAGGUACGGAACAACUCAGGGAAACUUGGGCUAAUACCGUAUGAUGCAGAGAUGCCAAAGAUUUAUCGCCUUGGGAUAAGCCCGCGUCAGAUUAGGUAGUUGGUGGGGUAAUGGCCUACCAAGCCUGUGAUCUGUAGCUGGUCUGAGAGGACGAUCAGCCACAUUGGGACUGAGACACGGCCCAAACUCCUACGGGAGGCAGCAGUGGGGAAUCUUGCGCAAUGGACGAAAGUCUGACGCAGCCAUGCCGCGUGAAUGAUGAAGGUCUUAGGAUUGUAAAGUUCUUUUAGCCUGUGACGAUGAUGACGGUAACAGGAGAAUAAGCCCC
rnacentral:rRNA from 1 species